AAAUUGAAGAGUUUGAUCAUGGCUCAGAUUGAACGCUGGCGGCAGGCCUAACACAUGCAAGUCGAACGGUAACAGGAAGCAGCUUGCUGCUUUGCUGACGAGUGGCGGACGGGUGAGUAAUGUCUGGGAAACUGCCUGAUGGCGGGGGAUAACUACUGGAAACGGUAGCUAAUACCGCAUAACGUCGCAAGACCAAAGAGGGGGACC
rnacentral:rRNA from 1 species